UGCGGGAUUGUGUAAUGGUAGCACGAGUGACUCUGACUCACUUUGUUCGGGUUCAAAUCCUGAUCCCGCAGCCA
rnacentral:tRNA from 1 species